rnacentral:misc_RNA from 1 species
CAUCGCGGCCAAUACCUGGUAUCACGUGGCGAUAACCAAGCAGGGGACGGGGUCGGCGAUGUAUGUGAACGGGGCGCAGGUAAGGACUUCGUCGAGCGCGCCUUCGACAGUGGCCUAUGAUGCCUCGCCCCUCC